CCUACGGGUGGCUGCAGUGGGGAAUAUUGCACAAUGGGCGGAAGCCUGAUGCAGCAACGCCGCGUGCGGGAUGAAGGCCUUCGGGUUGUAAACCUCUUUCAGCUAUGACGAAUGUGACGGUAGUAGCAGAAGAAGCACCGCCUCACUACGUGCCAGCAGCCGCGGUGAUACGUAGGGUGCGCGCGUUGUCCGGAUUUAUUGGGCGUAAAGAGCUCGUAGGUGGUUGUUUGCGUCGGAAGUGAAAACCUAGCGCUUAACGGUGGGCUUGCGUUCGAGACGGGAUGACUUGAGGGAGGUAGGGGAGAACGGAAGUCCUGGUGGAGCGGUGGAAUGCGCAGAUAUCAGGAGGAACACCGGUGGCGAAGGCGGUUCUCUGGACCGUGCCUGACGCUGAGGAGCGAAAGCGUGGGGAGCAAACAGGAUUAGAUACCCUUGUAGUC
rnacentral:rRNA from 1 species